AAAUUUAAGCAUAUCAAUAAGCGGAGGAAAAGAAACUAACAAGGAUUCCCCUAGUAACGGCGAGUGAAGAGGGAUCAGCCCAAAUUUGUAAUCUGGCUCUUUUCAGAGUCUGAGUUGUAAUUUUGAGAACUGUUUUCUGCUCUGGACCAUGUACAAGUCUGUUGAAAUGCAGCAUCAUUGAGGGUGAGAAUCCUGUUCAUGAUAUGGACUACCAGAGCUUUAUGAUAUAGUCUCUAAGAGUCGAGUUGUUUGGGAAUGCAGCUCAAAGUGGGUGGUAAAUUCCAUCUAAGGCUAAAUAUUGGUGAGAGACCGAUAGCAAACAAGUACCGUGAGGGAAAGAUGAAAAGAACUUUGGAAAGAGAGUUAACAGUACGUGAAAUUGUUAAAAGGGAAACAGUUGAAGUUAGACUUGUUGUUGUUGGUUCAGCUCUUUUAAGGGUGUUUUCUAAUAAUUAACAAACCAAUGUCAAUUUUUGGGUGUUGGAUAAGGGUUAUUGAAAUGUAGCAGUUUUGGCUGUGUUAUAGUCUUUGACUUGGAUACAAUGCUUAGGAUUGAGGAUUGCAGUAAGCCAUUUAUUUGGUGGAACAAUUUAUUGUUCUUCUUGCUGAGGAUAUUGGUGAAAUAGCUUUAAUUGACCCGUCUUGAAACACGACCCA
rnacentral:rRNA from 1 species